UAUGGCGCUUUGCUGUCAAAAGUUAAGCUAUCUUUUCUUCGAAAAUUACCAAUGAAUUCAUAGUUAUACUCGAUUGAUUUCGUCUGUAACUUGUCAGUGAUGUGUUCUAUUCCGUGUAUAUGUUGGAUAACCUUAAUUUUCAUCAACUUACAGUCUGAGGAAACGUGACAAUCGUGCAGCGGACCGUCAACUAUUUUGUUCAAACUCAUUGUAUUCUACUGAAUGUGCCAUCGAAAUUGAUGCAGGAUUCAUCUUAAUUAUUGGCUGUUUCUAUUGUACUUGAUAGAUCACCAACCCCAGCAUGGACCAAUCCUGACCAAUCUCUCAUUCCAUCUUCUAGAGAAUCUUGGAUAACUAAUUGGCGGUUUCAUGUAUCAUGGACAUCAGGAACAUUGAUGACAC